rnacentral:rRNA from 1 species
CCUACGGGUGGCAGCAGUAGGGAAUAUUGCUCAAUGGGGGAAACCCUGAAGCAGCAACGCCGCGUGGAGGAUGAAGGUUUUCGGAUUGUAAACUCCUUUUGUUAGAGAAGAUAAUGACGGUAUUUAACGAAUAAGCACCGGCUAACUCCGUGCCAGCAGCGGCGGUAAUACGGAGGGUGCAAGCGUUACUCGGAAUCACUGGGCGUAAAGAGCGCGUAGGCGGGAUAGCAAGUCAGAUGUGAAAUCCUAUGGCUUAACCAUAGAACAGCAUUUGAAACUGUCAUUCUGGAGUAUGGGAGAGGUAGGUGGAAUGCUUGGUGUAGGGGUAAAAUCCGUAGAGAUCGAGAGGAAUACUGAUUGCGAAGGCGACCUGCUAGAACAUAACUGACGCUGAUGCGCGAAAGCGUGGGGAGCGAACAGGAUUAGAUACCCCAGUAGUC